rnacentral:lncRNA from 1 species
AUUUUCGAUAGUCAAGUCUGCAUGUCCACUAAUUUCUAGUAUAAUUAUUAUAUCUAGUUUUAGUGCAAAACAUAAUACUCCCUCCGUCCCCAAAAUAAGUUCCUCUUUGGGGACGGCACGGGUUUUAAGAAAAAUGGUAAAGUGUAUUGAUAGUGGAAAAAAAUAUGUUAUAAUUAGUAUUGGGAGUGAUGAAAAUGUGAAAAAGUAUUAUAAUUAGUAUUGGGAGUGGUGAAAAAGGGAAAAGUAAGAAUAAAUAAAGUAUUAUUAGUGGUGGGAUAGUUGUCCAAAAAUAGAAAGAAAGAAAGAGGAACUUAUUUGGGGGACGUCCCAAAAUGGAAAAAGAGGAACUUAUUUCAGGGACGGAGGGAGUAUAUAGUAUAAUAUAAUGGUAGAAUCUAUCUUUGUAGUCUUAGCA